GAUGGAGCUCUGAGGGAUGAUGGAUCUGGCUUUUUCAAAUCCUCUGAAUCCAACAGCUCAUCAGAGUCCAAAAGAUCCUGAAAACACACCAUGGGAGACAAAAUGCAGGAAAUGGACUUUUCAGUAGGGAAUGACAGUGCCUAAUCCUCACGAGAAAUGCUAUGUUGCCAUAGAAGCAAGAGUCUCUCACCUGACUCUGUAACCACUGGUUCCUUCAGGAGGACACGGCCCCCUGGCUUAAGUAUUCGAGCUACUUCUGCCAGGAGCUCCACACUGUGCUGUGCUGCACUGCCUGGUACCAUGCCAGAGAGGAUUACAUCAAAACUGGACUUCCUGUGAGCCGCUGUGAAGAGAGAGCAUGAUGGUACAAUUGAACAUGUACAUACACAGCUUAAAACACCAGUUCCACCUCCCUCAUCCCUCAUGCUUGAGUACAACAGCAAGAACUGAUUAAAGACACCAGUCACAGAAGCACAGCCAAGGUGCAUCACUUCCCCUGUUGUACUGCUCAGGUAAGAGGCAGCAGCAGGUGCUGACAAUGUGCUGAGUCCUGACUCCCAAAGUGGGAAGGUGUUGGUUCACACAACAGCAGAACCCUCUCCCUUUUAAGGAAACAGUGAAAAAUUAAGCUCAUUCUUACACAGAGGCAGCUGGUUAACAUUUUCCACAGAGAUAUGAUUAUCAGCUCCCACCAGUGCCUGGACUUUAUCCACCAAAUCCUUCAGGGCUUCGACGGGCGAGGAGCUGUCCCAGAUGAUGGCCACGCGCUGGCCUGGAGCCAAUCCGUACUCGCCCAUUUCAGCAACAGCAAACCUGGCAGGGCUGGGGCAGAGAGAGAAAGGGUAAGUGCCAAACACAGCAAGAACCUCUGUGGAUUGUGACUUAACCAACUGAGUUGUUUUAAGAAAUGGGGAUAAUUUUCUGGAAAUGGGCAACAGAAAGUUCCCACAAACUGAGCGUUAGCAGGACAUGAAGAAAGAGCUAGACUUCAGGGCAUAAUUCAGUUUCUCCAGUUCACUGAUGGGACACUACAAGCCAUGCUUUAAAGAAAUCAACAAAAUAACACAAAAACUCACCUGCUUUCCUUAAAAAUCUGAGUAAGACAAACACAGGAUUUCUGGAUUUCCUGAGCAGUGACAGCUAUUGACAUUAAACACUACCUUGUGUCUCCUACUUCAAA